GAUGAACGCUAGCGGCAGGCCUAAUACAUGCAAGUCGGACGGGAUCCAUCGGAGAGCUUGCUCGAAGAUGGUGAGAGUGGCGCACGGGUGCGUAACGCGUGAGCAACCUACCUCUAUCAGGGGGAUAGCCUCUCGAAAGAGAGAUUAACACCGCAUAAUAUAAUCUUCCGGCAUCGUUAGAUUAUUAACUAUUUAUAGGAUAGAGAUGGGCUCGCGUGACAUUAGCUAGUUGGUAAGGUAACGGCUUACCAAGGCGACGAUGUCUAGGGGCUCUGAGAGGAGAAUCCCCCACACUGGUACUGAGACACGGACCAGACUCCUACGGGAGGCAGCAGUAAGGAAUAUUGGUCAAUGGGCGGAAGCCUGAACCAGCCAUGCCGCGUGCAGGACGACUGCCCUAUGGGUUGUAAACUGCUUUUGUCCAGGAAUAAACCUAAAUACGUGUAUUUAGCUGAAUGUACUGGAAGAAUAAGGAUCGGCUAACUACGUGCCAGCAGCCGCCGUAACAC
rnacentral:rRNA from 1 species